rnacentral:rRNA from 1 species
AAGGUUUCCGUAGGUGAACCUGCGGAAGGAUCAUUAACGAGAGAGGGGCUUCGCGCCCCGGCGGCCUCGCGGCCGCCAACUCUUCACCCUGUGUCGAAUCUACCUAUGUUGCUUUGGCGGGCCCUGGAGGUAACCCCACGCCAACCUUGGGCUUCACGGCCCGGGUCGGUCAGCGCCCGUCGAAGGCCCCAUCAAUUCUGUUUAUCAGUGAUGUCCGAGUACCAACACAAUAAUCAAAACUUUCAACAACGGAUCUCUUGGUUCUGGCAUCGAUGAAGAACGCAGCGAAAUGCGAUAAGUAAUGUGAAUUGCAGAAUUCAGUGAAUCAUCGAAUCUUUGAACGCACAUUGCGCCCCUCGGUAUUCCGGGGGGCAUGCCUGUUCGAGCGUCAUUGCACCCCUCAAGCGUAGCUUGGUGUUGGGCCCUCGCCCCCGCGGCGGGCCCGAAAGUCAGUGGCGGUCCGGAGGGACUUCGAGCGUAGUAAAAUUUUCUCCCGCUUUGGAAGUCCGCCCCGCGGCCGGCCAGAACGGCCAACUUCAAUGAUUGACCUCGGAUCAGGUAGG